rnacentral:rRNA from 1 species
UACGUAGGGUGCAAGCGUUAAUCGGAAUUACUGGGCGUAAAGCGUGCGCAGGCGGUUUUGUAAGUCUGUCGUGAAAUCCCCGGGCUCAACCUGGGAAUUGCGAUGGAGACUGCAAGGCUAGAGUGUGGCAGAGGGGGGUGGAAUUCCACGUGUAGCAGUGAAAUGCGUAGAGAUGUGGAGGAACACCGAUGGCGAAGGCGGUCUGCUGGGGUGAAUGCUGACACUGAUGCGCGACAGCGUGGGGAGCAAACAGG